rnacentral:rRNA from 1 species
UACGUAGGGGGCAAGCGUUGUCCGGAAUUAUUGGGCGUAAAGAGCGUGUAGGCGGCUAGGUAGGUCCGUUGUGAAAACUCGAGGCUCAACCUCGAGACGUCGAUGGAAACCAUCUAGCUAGAGUCCGGAAGAGGAGAGUGGAAUUCCUGGUGUAGCGGUGAAAUGCGCAGAUAUCAGGAAGAACACCCGUGGCGAAGGCGGCUCUCUGGUACGUGACUGACGCUGAGACGCGAAAGCGUGGGGAGCGAACAGG